rnacentral:rRNA from 1 species
CACGGAGUUAGCCGAUGCUUUUUCUCCGGGUACCCUCAGGACCGGACGAGUCCGGCCUUUUGUCCCCCGGCAAAAGAGGUCUGCGACGCUCUGCGCCUUCCUCCCUCACGCGGCUUGGCUGGUUCAGCCUUCCGGCCAUUGACCAAUAUUCCUCACUGCUGCCUCCCGUAGGAGUCUGGUCCGUGUCUCAGUACCAGUGUGGGGGGCCUUCCUCUCAGAACCCCUACGCAUCGUCGGAACGGUGGUCCGCCACACCGCCGUCUUCCUAAUGCGCCGCAUGCCCAUCCCCGCCCGCCCAGAAGGGCUUUCCUCCCCCGGGGAUCGCCCCCGGGGAUGUACGCGGUAUCAGCCCCCUUUCGGAGGUUGUACCCCUGGCGGGGCAGGUUGCAUACGUGUUACUCACCCGUGCGCCGGUCGCCGGCGGGACGCGCAAGCGCGUCCCCGCUCGCCCCUCGACUUGCAUGUGUUAAGCCUGCCGCUAGCGUUCAUCCUGAGCCAGGAUCAAAACUCU